AGCUUCGGCCAUCCGGCGAGGGAUGAGCCCGCGGUGCAUUAGCUAGUUGGUGGGGUAACGGCCCACCAAGGCGACGAUGCAUAGCUGGUCUGAGAGGAUGAUCAGCCACACUGGGACUGAGACACGGCCCAGACUCCUACGGGAGGCAGCAGUCGGGAAUCUUGCGCAAUGGGCGAAAGCCUGACGCAGCAACACCGUGUGUGUGACGAAGGCCUUCGGGUCGUAAAGCACUGUUGUUGGGGACGAAGGGCGAAGGGUUAAUAGCCC
rnacentral:rRNA from 1 species